rnacentral:rRNA from 1 species
GACGAACGCUGGCGGCGUGCCUAACACAUGCAAGUCGAGCGAAUGAAGUUCCUUCGGGAAUGGAUUUAGCGGCGGACGGGUGAGUAACACGUGGGCAACCUGCCUCAUAGAGGGGAAUAGCCUUCCGAAAGGGAGAUUAAUACCGCAUAAGAUUGUAGUAUCGCAUGAUACAGCAAUUAAAGGAGCAAUCGGCUAUGAGAUGGGCCCGCGGCGCAUUAGCUAGUUGGUGAGGUAACGGCUCACCAAGGCGACGAUGCGUAGCCGACCUGAGAGGGUGAUCGCCGACGCUGGAGCGAGGACGCGGCCGGGACUACUGGGGGAGGGGGGGGUGGGGAAUAUAGCAAAAGGGGGGAGCCCUAGAAGCCCCACGGCCGGGUGAGUGAUGCCGGCGUGCGGGAAAAGAAGCUGGUUAUUAAGGGGCUGUAAUGAGGGUACCGAAGGAAGAAGCACCGGCUAACUUCGUG